GACGAACGCUGGCGGCGUGCUUAACACAUGCAAGUCGAACGGAAAGGCCCUGCUUUUGUGGGGUGCUCGAGUGGCGAACGGGUGAGUAACACGUGAGUAACCUGCCCUUGACUUUGGGAUAACUUCAGGAAACUGGGGCUAAUACCGGAUAGGAGCUCCUGCUGCAUGGUGGGGGUUGGAAAGUUUCGGCGGGUGGGGAUGGACUCGCGGCUUAUCAGCUUGUUGGUGGGGUAGUGGCUUACCAAGGCUUUGACGGGUAGCCGGCCUGAGAGGGUGACCGGCCACAUUGGGACUGAGAUACGGCCCAGACUCCUACGGGAGGCAGCAGUGGGGAAUAUUGCACAAUGGGCGGAAGCCUGAUGCAGCAACGCCGCGCGCGGGAUGACGGCCUUCGGGUUGUAAACCGCUUUCGCCUGUGACGAAGCGUGAGUGACGGUAAUGGGUAAAGAAGCACCGGCUAACUACGUG
rnacentral:rRNA from 1 species